UACGUAGGGUGCGAGCGUUUGUCCGGAAUUAUUGGGCGUAAAGGGCUCGUAGGCGGUCUGUCACGUCAGGAGUGAAAACUCGGGGCUCAACCCUCGAGCCUGCUUCUGAUACGGGCAGACUGGAGGUAUGCAGGGGAGAACGGAAUUCCUGGUGUAGCGGUGAAAUGCGCAGAUAUCAGGAGGAACACCGGUGGCGAAGGCGGGUCUCUGGGCAACAACUGACGCUGAGGAGCGAAAGCGUGGGGGAGCGAACAGG
rnacentral:rRNA from 1 species